rfam:Rattus norvegicus chromosome 3, whole genome shotgun sequence.
UCAUGGUGGUGGCUGGGGUCAGCCCCAUGGCGGGGGCUGG